UUUACUGCUGUCGUUAAAAGAAACAAAUUUACACCUCGACUCUUUGGCUGCACUUACACUGCAGAUCUUGAUGGUUACUUCCGAUUUUGUGACUGUAUCUGAUUUUUUUGAUGACCUGCUAAUAUAAUCUUUUAAAAGUGACUCGUUUCCGAUCGCCUACAUUUACAGAGCACACGGCAAAGACGCAAUUAGCUGAAAAAAAAAGAGCGGGCGCUGACUAACAGCUGAUAAUUUAAGAGUGCUCUUUUCCCUAUUCCUGUAUGGAAUCUGUUCGCAGCUUUUUACAAGCUGUUUUACUAUAGUUUAUGACAGAAAGGUUCUCAUUUGUCCAUUUUCUUUUAAUAUAUGCCUUUUUUAAACCUUUAGGCAUCUUAAUGUAAUGUCCCAUACGAGAUUUAUGCACGUGAUGUAGCUAUGCACCAGUUUUAUAUUAGUUUAUAUUGGUUACAUAGCGGACAUUCCACUCUCAUGCUUAAAUGCCUGUGCUAUAUGACAAAAUAAAAGCUGUUUAAGUCCUCGUGUAUGAGAUUUAAGGUUUGGGAUUCUGCUGAAGUCUGUCCUGAAAAAAAAGUGUCAGACUUGACGUCAUUCGCUACGAUUUUUAUUGAUGCACGACUCUCAUUGACAGGUGAAAAUCUGAUCACCCUGCUUAAACUGCAGACACGAAAACAGAGAUCCGAUUCAUAUCGGAUAAAUUUCCACAUAUGAACAAGCCCUGAAUCUGAUUUGAGUAAAUCGGAAUCCAUGUGAUUUAUUCCUGCUCACAAGUACAUGGGCCAUAUCAGAUCUGUGCCACAUGGAAGAAAACAAUCGGAAUUGAGUCACUUGAACAGUGCAGUGUAAAUGCGGCCUUUGUGUCGGUGUCAGUCCGAACAGAUACGCCGCGCCACGCCGAGACGAGACCCCCCACCCUAAAACUGUAAACCUAGGGGAAACACUGGCCUUUAAAGUGAGGUUGCCAAUCUCACUUAGGCGGGCACACGUGUGGAAUCAUGACAGGGUAAUUAACCAAGAUUGACCGAAUGCCAGCUGACACGGUAGAUCCUACUUGGAGUACGUUGUUGCUGAUGCCUCACUGCGGUUUGCAAUCCGAGUUACAAGGCCAAGGUAUCUGACGUGUCCUCCAGCAGGGGUCAGCUUAUGUCAGACAGAUGAACCCAAUCUUUUGAUUUGCAAAAUGGACAACCUGUACCAUAACCACACAGACACAAGGCUAUAAAAGCCUUAGAUGAAGGCAGUACUUGUAAAAUCUACUAUUUUGGGCCAACCAAUCUAAGUAAAAAUCAACUUCUCAUAUCGUGUCGCAGUAACACUGAUUUAUGAUAUCUGACCAUUACAUUUAGAUAGAUUAGAUAAACAACCAUAAAAUACGAGACGUCUCGCGAGACUACGGUCGACCAAAAGGUUCAAACGUUAGGCAGAUUAUCUAACAGAAUAUAGUCUAGAAAUAUGAAAAAACAGACGGCGCCUGGCCUCACUCUAGUUACAAUAGUAAGGCCUUUAACAGAUAGAUUUGGAGGUUUUCCAAACUAUCUCAGAAGCACUGAGGGAAAUCGCUGUUCCGACAGGCGCGAUAAUAUUUCAAUCAUUUGCAUGACGUGCAUCUUUGCAAAAUCGAUUUUGAAUAUUGUGAACUGCAGUUUAAUAGUUACACUAACAGUAGUCAUCUGUGUGCUAGGGAAUGGCUGAAAGACGUGCGUCCUUCCAGCUGUGGAGAGACAGACAGCCAGCUGCAUACACCUUUGGUCAUGCUGGGAAUGGCUGAAAGACGUGCGUCCUUCCAGCUGUGGAGAGACAGACAGCCAGCUGCAUACACCUUUGGUCAUGCUGGGAAUGGCUGAAAGACGUGCGUCCUUCCAGCUGUGGAGAGACAGACAGCCAGCUGCAUACACCUUUGGUCAUGCUGGGAAUGGCUGAAAGACGUGCGUCCUUCCAGCUGUGGAGAGACAGACAGCCAGCUGCAUACACCUUUGGUCAUGCUGGGAAUGGCUGAAAGACGUGCGUCCUUCCAGCUGUGGAGAGACAGACAGCCAGCUGCAUACACCUUUGGUCAUGCUGGGAAUGGCUGAAAGACGUGCGUCCUUCCAGCUGUGGAGAGACAGACAGCCAGCUGCAUACACCUUUGGUCAUGCUGGGAAUGGCUGAAAGACGUGCGUCCUUCCAGCUGUGGAGAGACAGACAGCCAGCUGCAUACACCUUUGGUCAUGCUGGGAAUGGCUGAAAGACGUGCGUCCUUCCAGCUGUGGAGAGACAGACAGCCAGCUGCAUACACCUUUGGUCAUGCUGGGAAUGGCUGAAAGACGUGCGUCCUUCCAGCUGUGGAGAGACAGACAGCCAGCUGCAUACACCUUUGGUCAUGCUGGGAAUGGCUGAAAGACGUGCGUCCUUCCAGCUGUGGAGAGACAGACAGCCAGCUGCAUACACCUUUGGUCAUGCUGGGAAUGGCUGAAAGACGUGCGUCCUUCCAGCUGUGGAGAGACAGACAGCCAGCUGCAUACACCUUUGGUCAUGCUGGGAAUGGCUGAAAGACGUGCGUCCUUCCAGCUGUGGAGAGACAGACAGCCAGCUGCAUACACUUUUGGUCAUGCUGGUGAGUACAAUAAAAUCACAGUGGAAUAAAAAACUUUGCUUCACAGAAAACGUUUAAAAUGACCGCCCGCAUUCUCCACCAUAAUCUGUAGCGAAAUUAGCUCAAUUUCAUGAAUCUUAAUGAGCA